rnacentral:rRNA from 1 species
GACGAACCGUGCGAACGUUGUUCGGAUUCACUGGGCUUAAAGGGCGCGUAGGCGGGCGACCAAGUCCGGGGUGAAAUCUUUCAGCUUAACUGGAAAACUGCCCCGGAUACUGGCCGUCUGGAGGGAGGUAGGGGUCUGUGGAACUUCUGGUGGAGCGGUGAAAUGCGUAGAUAUCAGAAGGAACGCCGGUGGCGAAAGCGACGGACUGGACCUCAUCUGACGCUGAGGCGCGAAAGCUAGGGGAGCAAACGGG